rnacentral:rRNA from 1 species
UACGUAGGGGGCAAGCGUUGUCCGGAUUUAUUGGGCGUAAAGAGCGUGUAGGCGGCCAGACAGGUCCGUUGUGAAAACUCGAGGCUCAACCUCGAGACGCCGAUGGAAACCGUCUGGCUAGAGUCCGGAAGAGGAGAGUGGAAUUCCUGGUGUAGCGGUGAAAUGCGCAGAUAUCAGGAAGAACACCGGUGGCGAAGGCGGCAUCCUGGACCAAUAUUGACGCUGAGGAGCGAAAGCUAGGGGAGCAAACGGG